rnacentral:rRNA from 1 species
GACGAACGCUGGCGGCGUGCCUAAUACAUGCAAGUUGAGCGCUGAAGGUUGGUACUUGUACCAACUGGAUGAGCAGCGAACGGGUGAGUAACGCGUGGGGAAUCUGCCUUUGAGCGGGGGACAACAUUUGGAAACGAAUGCUAAUACCGCAUAAAAACUUUAAACACAAGUUUUAAGUUUGAAAGAUGCAAUUGCAUCACUCAAAGAUGAUCCCGCGUUGUAUUAGCUAGUUGGUGAGGUAAAGGCUCACCAAGGCGAUGAUACAUAGCCGACCUGAGAGGGUGGUCGGCCAAAUUGGGACUGGGACACGGCCCAAACUCCUACGGGAGGCAGCAGUAGGGAAACUUCGGCAAUGGACGAAAGGCUGACCGAGCAACGCCGCGGGAGGGAAGGAGGGUUUCGGAUCGGAAAACUCUGUUGGUAGGGAAGAACGUUGGUGGGAGUGGAAAGCGCAUCAAGUGACGGUAACUACUCAGAAAGGGACGGCUAACUACGUG